CCUACGGGUGGCAGCAGUGGGGAAUAUUGCGCAAUGGGCGAAAGCCUGACGCAGCGACGCCGCGUGAGGGAUGAAGGUCUUCGGAUCGUAAACCUCUGUCAGCAGGGAAGAACGGUCACUGUGCUAAUCAGCAGUGAAUUGACGGUACCUGCAAAGUAAGCACCGGCUAACUCCGUGCCAGCAGCCGCGGUAAUACGGAGGGUGCGAGCGUUAAUCGGAAUUACUGGGCGUAAAGCGCUCGUAGGCGGUAUGGCAAGUCAAGGGUGAAAUCCCCGGGCUAAACGUGGGAACUGCCUUUGAAACUGGCAAACUGGAGUGUGUGAGAGGAUAGGGGAAUUCCAGGUGUAGGAGUGAAAUCCGUAGAUAUCUGGAGGAACAUCAGUGGCGAAGGCGACUAUCUGGAACAUAACUGACGCUGAGGAGCGAAAGCGUGGGUAGCAAACAGGAUUAGAUACCCCAUAGUC
rnacentral:rRNA from 1 species